AUUGAACGCUGGUGGCAUGCUUAACACAUGCAAGUCGAACGGUAACAGGAGAAGCUUGCUUCUUGCUGACGAGUGGCGGACGGGUGAGUAACGCGUAGGAAUCUGCCCAUCUGUGGGGGAUACCAGUUGGAAACGACUGUUAAUACCGCAUAAUAUCUGCGGAUUAAAGGUGGCCUUUGUGCUGCCGCAGAUGGAUGAGCCUGCGUUGGAUUAGCUUGUUGGUGGGGUAAAGGCCUACCAAGGCUACGAUCCAUAGCUGAUUUGAGAGGAUGAUCAGCCACAUUGGGACUGAGACACGGCCCAA
rnacentral:rRNA from 1 species